UGAUGCUGAAGUUGCUGAUCUGGAUCAUAUUGUUCUGAAAUGUGCAAAUUUUAAUUUCCAACGUUUAAUUUUAGUAAGUGAAAUAUGUGAAUGUGAAGGUAAUGUUAAUGAUGAAUUUGAAUCCGAAGAAAUUCAACAAAGUGUUCCCCGCCAAGUUCAGGAACUACUUGCCAACAAGAAGUUUUAUAAGACAUUGUAUAAAUAUAUAUGUAACACAGUAGAAAAAAUAUAAAAAGGUGUUAAGUUAAGAGUAUUGUAUUGCAAAUAAGUAGGUAUAAGAUUAUUUUUUCUUUGUAAUUUAAAAGUAUUUUAAAAUUAUCCAUGUUUUCGGCUGAAAGACUUGUAUCUAUGGCCAAGAAUAAAUUAAAAAAAAAAAAAAAAAAAUGAACUUAUGUUAAUAUUUCCCAUGCAUAGUCAUAUGUGUUUAAAAAUUUGUACGUUUAAUAUCAUUGGCGGGACUCCUUUUCACACACGGUCGGUUAGCCCCACGAGACAUCUAUUGCUGAUUAGACAAAGCAGAACAUAAGUUUCACCGUUAAGGAAUGAAGAUGGCGCUGCUUCAUUAAUCGUCAAGCUUGAUGUAGGCAACUGUCCCCCCCUGUUGUACAGUGCGCAAAGCGAUCCCCACUCUUCCGCCGAGAGCUCAUUAUCCGUGCCGAUAACUAUACUACGCUAUCCAGCAGUUUGGUAAUCUUUGGGUAUCAAUAAAUAAAACCAAUAAAUACACUUUUAAAAUCAACAAUAUUUAUUACAAAACUCACUCAUUGUCAUUAACAGAUAACAACUCAGUAUUUUUUUUUCAUUUAUCUGCACAGCGCAUGCAUCGUAACAUCAUCUGCCAAACCUUUUCACAACUAUGUUGGGGUCGGCUUCCAGUCUAACCGGAUGCAGCUGAGUACCAGUGUGCCACAAGGAGCGACUGCCUAUCUGACCUCCUCAACCCAGUUCCCCGGGCAACCCAAUACCCCUUGGCAAGACUUUCUGGCAGGCAGUUGAACGUUCUAUGAAUGAGUAUAUCACUCACAUUUCAGAGAUAGUUCUGCCAUUAUAUUCAAGAGACUUUACUCUUUUUCCCUGCUCCUCGUUGAUUCUGUAAAGAAAUUAAAAAAUAGAUUAAUUAUAAAAGAACUAGCUAUUGCCCGCAACUUCGUUCGCGUGGAAUAGUGACUACCAGCAGAUUUUUGAUUUGACCAAUAGAUGGCGCUAUAUGUCCGGAAUA